UACGUAGGGGGCAAGCGUUAUCCGGAUUUACUGGGUGUAAAGGGAGCGUAGACGGUAAUGUAAGUCUGAUGUGAAAGCCCGGGGCUCAACCCCGGGACUGCAUUGGAAACUAUGUAACUAGAGUACCGGAGAGGUAAGCGGAAUUCCUAGUGUAGCGGUGAAAUGCGUAGAUAUUAGGAGGAACAUCGGUGGCGAAGGCGGCUUACUGGGCUUUUACUGACGCUGAGGCUCGAAAGCGUGGGGAGCAAAUAGG
rnacentral:rRNA from 1 species